rnacentral:rRNA from 1 species
UAACCUCUUGAAAGAGGGGCUAAUACCGGAUAACACACCUCAUCGCAUGGUGAGGGGUUGAAAGGCUUGCUGCUGGAAGAGGGGUCUGCGGGACAUUAGCUUGUUGGUGGGGUAACGGCCUACCAAGGCAGCGAUGUCUAGCGGGUCUGAGAGGAUGAUCCGUCACACUGGAACUGAGACACGGUCCAGACUCCUACGGGAGGCAGUAGUGGGGAAUUUUGCGCAAUGGGCGAAAGCCUGACGCAGCAACGCCGCGUGAGUGAAGAAGGCUUUUGGGUCGUAAAGCUCUUUUCUGAGGGAAGAGUAAAGACGGUACCUCAGGAAUAAGCACCGGCUAACUCCGUGCCAGCAGCCGCGGUAAUACGGAGGGUGCAAGCGUUGUUCGGAUUUACUGGGCGUAAAGGGCGU